GCUCAGGAUGAACGCUAGCUACAGGCUUAACACAUGCAAGUCGAGGGGUAGCAGGGUAGCAAUACCGCUGACGACCGGCGCACGGGUGAGUAACACGUAUCCAACCUUCCCAUGACUCAGGGAUAGCCUUUCGAAAGAAAGAUUAAUACCUGAUAGUACUUUUUUAAGGCAUCUUGAAAAAGUUAAAGAUUUAUCGGUUAUGGAUGGGGAUGCGUUCCAUUAGAUAGUUGGUGAGGUAACGGCUCACCAAGUCUUCGAUGGAUAGGGGUUCUGAGAGGAAGGUCCCCCACAUUGGUACUGAGACACGGACCAAACUCCUACGGGAGGCAGCAGUGAGGAAUAUUGGUCAAUGGGCGAGAGCCUGAACCAGCCAAGU
rnacentral:rRNA from 1 species